rnacentral:rRNA from 1 species
CCUACGGGNGGCNGCAGUUUCGAAUCAUUCACAAUGGGCGAAAGCCUGAUGGUGCGACGCCGCGUGAGGGAUGAAGGUCUUCGGAUUGUAAACCUCUGUCACUGGGGAGAAAACGCUUUGAGUUAACAGUUCAAAGCCUGAUUUAACCGGGAGAGGAAGCAGUGGCUAACUCUGUGCCAGNAGNNNCGGUNA